UAAGACUAUACUUUCAGGGAUCAUUUCUUUUUAUUUUAUUUUAUUUUAUUUUACUUUAUUUUAUUUUAUUUUGAGGCAGAGUCUCACUGUGUCGCCCAGGCUGGAGUGCACUAGUGUGAUCUCAGCUCCCUGAAGCCUCCGCCUCCCAGGUUCAAGUGAUUCUCGCGCCUCAGCCUCCUGAAUAGCUAGGACUACAGGCACACACCACCAAGCCUGGCUAAUUUUUGUAUUUUUGGUAGAGACAGGGUUUCGCCACGUUGGCCAGGCUGGUCUCAAACUCCUGACCUCAAGUGAUCCACCUGACUUGGCCUCCCAAAGUGCUGGGAUUACAGGCAUGAGCCACCACGCCAAAGUGCUGGGAUUACAGGCAUGAGCCACCACGCCUGGCCUGUACUCUUUUAAUGAUGUUUUCAGAUAAACAAAAGUUCUUAUAUUUAAUGUAAACUAAUUUAUCUUUUUUUCUUUAUAACUAAUGCUUUUUGAAACUAGAUUAAGAAAUCUUUCUCCAUCCUGAGGUCAUAAAGGUUUUGUUUUUUA
rnacentral:lncRNA from 1 species